UACGUAGGGUGCAAGCGUUAAUCGGAAUUACUGGGCGUAAAGCGUGCGCAGGCGGCUAUGCAAGACAGAUGUGAAAUCCCCGGGCUUAACCUGGGAACUGCAUUGGUGACUGGCAGGCUUUGAGUGUGGCAGAGGGAGGUAGAAUUCCACGUGUAGCAGUGAAAUGCGUAGAGAUGUGGAGGAAUACCGAUGGCGAAGGCAGCCUCCUGGGCCAACACUGACGCUCAUGCACGAAAGCGUGGGGAGCAAACAGG
rnacentral:rRNA from 1 species